rnacentral:rRNA from 1 species
GCCAGCAGCGAUAUCACCCUGCAACUCCCAGCUGGCAGCCCACUGAAGCUCAGCAGGUGUGAGCCUGGUCAGUACCUGGAUGGGAGACCUCCUGGGAAAUACUAAGGUUGCUGCUGGAA